CUUUUGUUUAAUGGUCUAAGUGUGAUACUUGGACUAUAUAAAUGAGUGUGUAAACUUGCUUGUUAUAGUGUAUUUAUGUUAAGUUUUGCAGAGAUUAUCUACACUGCCUGACUCUGGGAAUGUGCAAAUGGUCUCUGAAAGCAGCACUGAUGCCUCAUUUUUCUCUGACUCAACACUUCACUCAAGACCUAGCACAUCAGCUACCCUUCCACCAGAGGAUAUCCCAUUAGGGUCCAGACCUGUAAAAAUGGAUGAUAUGGCUUGGAAAAGCAUUGUCAGUCCAGAAUUGGCAGCAGAGCAUUACAGAAGACAGUGGCUGCAAAACAAAGAAGAUGAGCCAACUCUGAAAAUUAAAAUAGACAUCAGGGAUGAUGUAGAGGAGCAAGAGGGCACAAUCCUCAACUUUUACAAGGCUCCCAACAUUGAUUGGGCUAGACCAUUCCAAGCUAAACUACAGGGAGAUUUGGCUAUUGGGGAUGGCGUGAAUUCUAAGUGUCUUCGACACUUCCUAAGUAUGGUAAUGCACAAGUUGCAAUAUGGAUUCACAGUGAUUUUGGAAAUGCAUGCAGCACUUUGCUAUUUGAGGGCCAAACUGACCACCUAAUCCCUUCCACCUCCCAAGUGUUGGCACAGAAUGAGAUGUUUAUCAUGGCAGGGAGAAUGAUAGGCCAUUCUUUCCUUCAUGGUGGCCCUCGUCUGACAGGUGUUAGCCCAUCAGUUCUUCAUGUGCUGUUAGGUGGAACGCCCCAGACAUCAUCACCCUUGAAGAUGUGGCAGAUAUAGAGAUCAAGUAGACCAUAAGACCGCUUUAUGAAGAUGAAGAAUCCAAGAACCAAUGCAGUGGACUCCCUGAGGAUCAAAGGGCAGCUGUAAAUGAGUUCACACUGGCAUGGGAUCUCCCUGUAUUAACAGAAACCAGCAGGACUUGGCUUCUUCAUAAUCUACUUCAACAUGCAGUACUUGGAUGAAACUCACGCCAGUUGAAGCAGGGAUUGAAGGAAUCAUUGAUUUUUGCCACUUUUGGAAUCUCGACCUGGCACAGUGGCAUCAGUUUUUCCAAGUCAGUCAAUGGCUGAAUGCAGUGCUGAGACCACAUCAAAUGGCCUGAGGAAGGAGGGUUGGAGGAUGAUGAUGACAGUGGGUACUCAAAUGCAGAAUUAUGGGGUACUUACGUCAGUUUAUGAGAACAGUGUUGCAUUCAAAUGGAUGACAAAGGUCCACGAAUUUCUCGAUCAUUACAUUGCAUCACAACAGGACCCGUCUGUUAAGGUGCUUCAGCACAAGUUUCAUUGGCAGUCUGUCGAUGAUGUCGUCUGGGUUGCCAGAGAAGACGGUUGACGGCACAAUGAAUACCUCCGACUCACUGCUGAGGAAUGUGCAGGUGUCGUUGACCUCAGAGACACCAAUGAUGUCUACCUCAGUUUCCUCAACCUGGCCCUCAGGGAUCUGUGGAAACAAACCAGUGUGGGAAAUGUCAGUGUAUUAGUACUAAAAACACCUCACUUGUAAACUAUGGCAGCAGUAGUGUUGUGCAUUAUGUACCUGCACAGACGUGUAGGCCGAGGACUGGAAUUUCCUCUGGCCGUUCUUAAAAAUGCAGGGACGAAGGUGUGUGAGCACCACCUCGUCACCCACGUAGAGGUCCGUCAGCGCCUCAUCCCUCCACAGCGACACGUCAAAGGCCUUUCCUCCACACUGGAGCCGCAUGUCCAGAAUGGGGACGUUGGUUCUAGUCAUCCUCGUGCCACACAACUGGAAAAAGUUUUUGACCCGUCAGAAAGGGCACUCAAACACUGCGUUUUAAAUCUUCCAAUAUCUAUUUUCCGUCCCUUGGUGAAGCUCUGGGCUCGCUGGCUCAACUUGGUUGCAACACACUUGCAAGUCAAAAAUGCAGUUGGAGUUGUUGGAGUUGUUGGAGUUGCCAUGCUGAAGACAGAGGAAGUUUCUCCACGUACAGAAAACAUCAGACGAGCCACGCCAACAUUCUCUCCUCCCUGAUCAGCUCACACUCUAAACAAUAAUCUAACAUAAUGAAGAGCCA